rnacentral:rRNA from 1 species
GUUUGAUCCUGGCUCAGGAUGAACGCUGGCGGCGUGCCUAACACAUGCAAGUCGAACGAAGAUGCAUUUCAGAUCCCUUCGGGGUGACGAGAUGCAGACUUAGUGGCGGACGGGUGAGUAAUGUAUGAGCAACCUGCCUUCAAGAGGGGAAUAACAGUCGGAAACGACUGCUAAUACCGCAUAAUAAAGCGUAGUCGCAUGACAAUGCUUUCAAAGGAGCAAUCCGCUUGAAGAUGGGCUCAUAUCUGAUUAGAUAGUUGGUGAGGUAACGGCUCACCAAGUCUGCGAUCAGUAGCCGGACUGAGAGGUUGAACGGCCACAUUGGAACUGAGAUACGGUCCAGACUCCUACGGGAGGCAGCAGUGGGGAAUAUUGGGCAAUGGGCGAAAGCCUGACCCAGCAACGCCGCGUGAAGGAAGAAGGUCUUCGGAUUGUAAACUUUUGUCUUAUGGGACGAUAAUGACGGUACCAUAGGAGGAAGCCACGACUAACUACGUGCCAGCAGUCGCGGUAAUACGUAGGUGGCGAGCGUUAUCCGGAAUUAUUGGGUGUAAAGGGUGCGUAGGCGGGUCGUAAAG